rnacentral:rRNA from 1 species
GACGAACGCUGGCGGCGUGCCUAAUACAUGCAAGUCGAACGCUGAAGGAGGAGCUUGCUUCUCCGGAUGAGUUGCGAACGGGUGAGUAACGCGUAGGUAACCUGCCUGGUAGCGGGGGAUAACUAUUGGAAACGAUAGCUAAUACCGCAUAACAGUAGAUGUUGCAUGACAUUUGCUUAAAAGGUGCAAUUGCAUCACUACCAGAUGGACCUGCGUUGUAUUAGCUAGUUGGUGAGGUAACGGCUCACUAAGGCGACGAUACAUAGCCGACCUGAGAGGGGGAUCGGCCACCCUGGGACUGAGACACGGCCCAGACGCCUACGGGAGGCAGCAGUAGGGAAGCUUCGGCAAUGGACGGAAGUCUGACCGAGCAACGCCGCGGGAGUGAAGAAGGGUUUCGGAUCGUAAAGCUCUGUUGUAAGAGAAGAACGAGUGUGAGAGUGGAAAGUUCACACUGUGACGGUAUCUGACCAGAAAGGGACGGCUAACUACGUG